rnacentral:tRNA from 1 species
GCCGGGGUGGCGGAAUUGGUAGACGCGCUGGACUCAGGAUCCAGUGGGGAAUUAACCCCCGUGUGGGUUCGAGUCCCACCCCCGGCACCA